GAACCAUCAGACAAAUUAUUAUGGAAUGAAAAUUCAUAGAAUGAUGAAAAGAAGCAAUCAUAACCUACAUCUGUCUUGUUCCUGAUCAUAACGUGAAGUCUUUCAAGGUUUCACCAUUAAAUAUAAGAUUUGGAGGAAAAAACACACCCAGGAAUGACAGUUUACAAAGAUCUUACUGUGUUCCAAAAAGUGUGCCAGCCCGGGUAGGUCAUCCGGAUCAGCAAAACUCCCAACUCCAACACAAAGAGCCGCAGCAGACUGGAAUUACGAUCAACUUCCUUCUGGGAGGAAGAAAAUGGAGGAGGAUAAAAAUGAAGACUCAGAAGAACAAUUCUUAAUUAGGUAAAUGUUCUCCAAAAACCUCAAACUUUUCUUCCCAUUUCCCUCAUAAAUUCUCAUGUUUAUGUUAAACACAAUUCACAUUUUUCAAAUAAAAAACCAUAAAACCACUGCAAAACCCUAUCCUACUCUUAAGUCACCU